AGUGAACGCUGGCGGUAGGCCUAACACAUGCAAGUCGAACGGCAGCACAGUAAGAGCUUGCUCUUACGGGUGGCGAGUGGCGUACGGAUGAGGAAUACAUCGGAAUCUACUUUUUCGUGUGGGAUAACGUAGGGAAACUUACGCUAAUACCGCAUACGACCUACGGGUGAAAGCAUUGGAUCUUCGGACCUGGCGCGAUUGGAUGAGCCGAUGUCGGAUUAGCUAGUUGGCGGGGUAAAGGCCCACCAAGGCGACGAUCCGCAGCUGGUCUGAGUGGAUGAUCAGCGACCCUGGAACUGAGACACGGACAAGAGUCCUAAGGGAGGGAGCAGUGGGGAAUAGUGGACAAUGGGCGGAAGCAUGAUACAGUGAGACCGCGUGUGUGAAGACGGCGUUGCGGUUGGAAAGCCGUUUUGUGGGGAAAGAAAAGCAGCAGGUUAAUACGAAGCUGUUCUGACGGUAACGAAAGAAUAAGCACCGGCUAACUACGUG
rnacentral:rRNA from 1 species